rnacentral:rRNA from 1 species
AACGAACGCUGGCGGCAUGCCUAACACAUGCAAGUCGAACGAGACCUUCGGGUCUAGUGGCGCACGGGUGCGUAACGCGUGGGAACCUGCCCUUAGGUUCGGAAUAACUCCCCGAAAGGGGUGCUAAUACCGGGUAAUGUCUUCGGACCAAAGAUUUAUCGCCUUUGGAUGGGCCCGCGUUGGAUUAGCUAGUUGGUAGGGUAAAAGCCUACCAAGGCGACGAUCCAUAGCUGGUCUGAGAGGAUGAUCAGCCACACUGGGACUGAGACACGACCCAGACUCAUACGGGAGGCAGCAGUGGGGAAUAUUGGACAAUGGGCGAAAGCCUGAUCCAGCAAUGCCGCGUGAGUGAUGAAGGCCUUAGGGUUGUAAAGCUCUUUUACCCGGGAUGAUAAUGACAGUACCGGGAGAAUAAGCUCCGGCUAACUCCGUG